GGACCGGGAUAACCCUGGGAAACUGGGGAUAAUACUGGAUAGGCAAUUUUUCCUGUAAUGGUUUUUUGUUUAAAUGUUUUUUCGCCUAAGGAUGGGUCUGCGGCCGAUUAGGUAGUUGGUUAGGUAAUGGCUUACCAAGCCGUUGAUCGGUACGGGUUGUGAGAGCAAGAGCCCGGAGAUGGAACCUGAGACAAGGUUCCAGGCCCUACGGGGUGCAGCAGGCGCGAAACCUCCGCAAUGUGAGAAAUCGCGACGGGGGGAUCCCAAGUGCCAUUCUUAACGGGAUGGCUUUUCUUAAGUGUAAAGAGCUUUUGGAAUAAGGGCUGGGCAAGACCGGUGCCAGCCGCCGCGGUAACACCGGCAGCUCUAGUGGUAGCAGUUUUUAUUGGGCCUAAAGCGUCCGUAGCCGGUUUAAUAAGUCUCUGGUGAAAUCCUGUAGCUUAACUGUGGGAAUUGCUGGAGAUACUAUUAGACUUGAGACCGGGAGAGGUUGGAGGUACUCCCAGGGUAGAGGUGAAAUUCUGUAAUCCUGGGAGGACUGCCUGUUGCGAAGGCGUCUAACUGGAACGGUUCUGACGGUGAGGGACGAAAGUUAGGGGCGCGAACCGGAUUAGAUACCCGGGUAGUCCUAACUGUAAACGAUGCGGACUUGGUGUUGGGGUGGCUUUGAGCUGCUCCAGUGCCGAAGGGAAGCUGUUAAGUCCGCCGCCUGGGAAGUACGGUCGCAAGACUGAAACUUAA
rnacentral:rRNA from 1 species